CUACGGGUUGCUGCAGUGAGGAAUAUUGGUCAAUGGGCGCAAGCCUGAACCAGCCAUGCCGCGUGAAGGAUGAAGGCCUUAUGGGUUGUAAACUUCUUUUAUACGGGAAUAAACUUAGCUAUGUAUAGCUAACUGCAGGUACCGUAAGAAUAAGCACCGGCUAACUCCGUGCCAGCAGCCGCGGUAAUACGGAGGGUGCAAGCGUUAUCCGGAUUUAUUGGGUUUAAAGGGUCCGCAGGCGGACUAAUAAGUCAGUGGUGAAAUCUCUCGGCUCAACCGAGAAACUGCCAUUGAUACUGUUAGUCUAGAGUGUAGUUGGCGUAGGCGGAAUGUAUCAUGUAGCGGUGAAAUGCUUAGAUAUGAUACAGAACACCGAUCGCGAAGGCAGCUUACGAACCUACAACUGACGCUCAGGGACGAAAGCGUGGGAAGCGAACAGGAUUAGAUACCCGCGUAGUC
rnacentral:rRNA from 1 species